GCUCUUUCCAUACACGACGAGGCCUCUUCUGGUUCGGGCGGUUACGCGGCUCCUUCGAGAGAAGGUGGCCCAUAUAGAAGGCCCCGAGGAGGGGGACCGGGACAGGGAAGUAAGGAGGCCCCGAAAGGCGAGCUCCGGCAGCGGGGCAGGCCGCUCUCUGGCUCGGCCUCAGGCCCGCUGCGGGGUCGCCCGCCCUGCGCACACACACGCACACACGGGCACACACGCGACGGUGGGGGGUGGGCGUCAGCUGCGGGCCGCCCGGGCGCCCGACGGGGGCUACAUGCUUUGCCCCGGGAAGCCGGGAGAACGAUGGGCGCGAGCUUUGGGGACGCGACGGAGGGA